UUCAGUAAAAAUUCUGUAGAAGGCUGAACAUUGCAAUAUGCACUUCUGAAGAUCUCAGCAAACCAGUGGACUCAUCCUGCUCAGCUCAAUGGCUAUAAUGUUGCUUUCUUGUUUCAUGCUUGUUAAUUAUGCUGAAUGUAAAAAUUUUGUAGAAGGCUGAACAUUGCAAUAUGCACUUCUGAAGAUCUCAUCAAACCAGUGGACUCAUCCUGCUCAGCUCAAUGACUAUAAUGUUGCUUAUCUUGUUUCAUGCUCGUUAAUUCUGCUGAAUGUAAAAAUUGUGUAGAAGGCUGAACAUUGCAAUAUGCACUUCUGAAGAUGUCAGCAAACCAGUGGACUCAUCCUGCUCAGCUUGAUGUCUAUAAUGUUGCUUUCUUGUUUCAUGCUCAUUAAUUCUGCUGAA